AGGAGAGGAAGAAGGAGAUGAGGAGAAGAAGAAGGAAAGAGAAGGGAAGAAGAGACGAGGAGGAGAUUGAAAGGGAGCUAUUGUACCUGAGGCUACUCUUGGACAACGUUCUACCCAUCUAUGGCUGCUGUAGAUAUGGGUGCAUGCAAGUGCCUUGUGCUACUUACAACAAGAAGGAGCUGGUUGGGUCUUGAUUCAGCUGAGAUUUGGAGAGGAGGGCUGAUUCUAGCUGUAUGCAUGCACCAAGAGAACAUCAAAGGAAUCUUAUAACUACAUUUGUUGGGGAUACGCGAGGCUAGGAAAUUGGUGAAGGAUUUCAGAUAUGAGAUUUCAGGUAUUGAAGCUGAAGCAAAAUUGAGCAGGUGAUUCAUUGGAGAUGAAGAAAAUAUCAGGAAUCUUACAACUACAUUUGUUGAGGAUACGCGAGGCUAGGACAAUGGUGAAGGAUUUCAGAUAUGAGAUUUCAGGUAUUGAAGCUGAAGCUGAAACAGAAGUGAGCUGGCGAUUAAUCGGAGAUGAAGAAAAGAUCUGGGAGUGGUUAUAGACAAGGAUUUUGAUACUUUAUGUUUUAUAGUGUAAAUAAAAUGUAAGUGGUAUUAUAAAUUUGGUUAUAACUUGUGGAUGUAAUAAAUGAGCCUAUAAUAUUAUAAACUUAUCAUUGUAGCUGAUCACCAC